GUGCGUUUCGGCGGUACAUGUACUAAAACUGAAACUAUACAAAGAUGAUUAGCAUUGUCACUGAACAAGGAUGACACGCAAAAUCUUUAAGAGUUCUAAAUUUUU